AUUGAACGCUGGCGGCAGGCCUAACACAUGCAAGUCGAGCGGAGCGGUGGACGGGGGAGUAAUGCCUAGGAAUCUGCAUGGUCGUGGGGGAUAAGGUCCGGAAACGGGAGCUAAUACCGCAUACUAUCAGAUGAGGCUAGGUCGGAUUAGCUAGUGGGUGGGGUAGAGGCCUACCAAGGCGACGAUCCGUAACUGGUCUGAGAGGAUGAUCAGUCACACUGGAACUGAGACACGGUCAAGACUCCUACGGGAGGCAGCAGUGGGGAAUAUUGGACAAUGGGCGAAAGCCUGAUGCAGCCAUGCCGCGUGUGUGAAGAAGGCCUUCGGUUUGUAAAGCACUUUAAGUUGGGAGGCGUUACCAACAGAAUAAGCACCGGCUAACUUCGUGCCAGCAGCCGCGGUAAUAC
rnacentral:rRNA from 1 species